rnacentral:rRNA from 1 species
AUUGAACGCUGGCGGCAGGCCUAACACAUGCAAGUCGAGCGGAUGAAGGGAGCUUGCUCCUGGAUUCAGCGGCGGACGGGUGAAUAAUGCCUAGGAAUCUGCCUGGUAGUGGGGGAUAACGUCCGGAAACGGGCGCUAAUACCGCAUACGUCCUGAGGGAGAAAGUGGGGGAUCUUCGGACCUCACGCUAUCAGAUGAGCCUAGGUCGGAUUAGCUAGUUGGUGGGGUAAAGGCCUACCAAGGCGACGAUCCGUAACUGGUCUGAGAGGAUGAUCAGUCACACUGGAACUGAGACACGGUCCAGACUCCUACGGGAGGCAGCAGUGGGGAAUAUUGGACGAUGGGCGAAAGCCUGAUCCAGCCAUGCCGCGUGUGUGAAGAAGGUCUUCGGAUUGUAAAGCACUUUAAGUUGGGAGGAAGGGCAGUAAGUUAAUACCUUGCUGUUUUGACGUUACCAACAGAAUAAGCACCGGCUAACUUCGUG